GCUGAAUUUAAGCAUAUCACUAAGCGGAGGAAAAGAAACUAACCAGGAUUCCCCUAGUAACGGCGAGUGAACGGGGAUUAGCCCAGCACCGAAGCCUGUGUCCAUUUGGAUGCUAGGCACUGUGGUGUUUAGGUGGUGACGUGUCGGUUCAUCUGCUGCCCCAAGUCCAGUAAUGAAUAUGGCUCUUAUGUUGGCCCAGAGAGGGUGAAAGGCCCGUGGGGGUGGUUAGGUGAGUUGACCGGUUCCACCUUGGAGUCGGGUUGUUUGUGAAUGCAGCCCAAAGUGGGUGGUAGACUCCAUCUAAGGCUAAAUACUGACACGAGUCCGAUAGCGAACAAGUACCGUGAGGGAAAGUUGAAAAGUUACUCUG
rnacentral:rRNA from 1 species